rnacentral:rRNA from 1 species
GGUUAAGCGACUAAGCGUACACGGUGGAUGCCCUGGCAGUCAGAGGCGAUGAAGGGCGUGCUAAUCUGCGAUAAGCGCCGGUAAGGUGAUAUGAACCGUUAUAACCGGCGAUACCCGAAUGGGGAAACCCAGUGUGAUUCGUCACACUAUCAUUAACUGAAUCCAUAGGUUAAUGAGGCGAACCGGGGGAACUGAAACAUCUAAGUACCCCGAGGAAAAGAAAUCAACCGAGAUUCCCCCAGUAGCGGCGAGCGAACGGGGAGGAGCCCAGAGCCUGAAUCAGCAUGUGUGUUAGUGGAAGCGUCUGGAAAGGCGCGCGAUACAGGGUGACAGCCCCGUACACAAAAGCGCAUGUGCUGUGAGCUCGAUGAGUAGGGCGGGACACGUGGUAUCCUGUCUGAAUAUGGGGGGACCAUCCUCCAAGGCUAAAUACUCCUGACUGACCGAUAGUGAACCAGUACCGUGAGGGAAAGGCGAAAAGAACCCCGGCGAGGGGAGUGAAAAAGAACCUGAAACCGUGUACGUACAAGCAGUGGGAGCCCCACCACUAAGCCAGUGGUGAACUCCACAUACGCAUCCUUUGCUGAAGGCAAUGGUUAACGGAGCGAAAGCGACGUUCAACCGCAAAACAAGCAGAGGGGGCUUAGUGGUGGGGUGACUGCGUACCUUUUGUAUAAUGGGUCAGCGACUUAUAUUCUGUAGCAAGGUUAACCGUAUAGGGGAGCCGGAGGGAAACCGAGUCUUAAU